rnacentral:lncRNA from 1 species
CAAAUUGUGAAGCUCUUGUUCUCUUCUUAGACCUGAGAUAUUGAUUUGUAACAAGAAAGUAAAAGAAUUGACUGCAAAUAACAUAAAUCCUGUUUUUUCUUAAAUAAAAGUAAAGCCAAUUAAUAACUGGCAACAAUAUUUGAUUAUUCCAAUAAGGAAUCCAUGUCUCUAAAAAAGCUACUUUUUACAAUAUUUAAUGGUCCAUAUCUUUGUGCCCAAGGAUCACUGCAAGGAAAAAUUGUAAGAAUCAACUAAUGUAGCUGCCAUAGAAACAGAAAGAAGGAUGUCCUCAGAAAUUGCUGCGCAGAAUUGCAGGAGACAUUUGAUUUGUUUACACGAUUUAAUGAUCAGCUACAAAAUGCAGUCCAGCGGUAUUACCAUGCAUCCACAAAUAGUUCAUACACUUCAUCAUUCUCUCUGUUCUUCGUUCAGCCUGCUAUUCCCAUAUCCUGUACCAGAACAUUGCUCGCAUGAAUACAUAGCAUCCCAUGAAUCCAUGUCAUAGUGCAUGCCUCUCCCAGCGAGUCAAGCUUUGUACCCAUUUCUAGUUUUAUAAUACAUCUCCUAUGCUCUCGGCAUAUUUCCUGAAGGAUUUCUGAAGGGAACGUACUGCCUCAAUGUGGCGGAUAGAAUCCAACCCUCGCUCUGAAAAUCAUAAUCACUAUGUCAGCUUCUUGCGUAACUACAAUUUUUCUGUACUCUAUAUUUUACUAGCAAUGGUACACGGCCUUUGACACUAAUCUAGAAACAACCAUCUCUAAGCUUCGCCUUGUUUAUGGUUUACCUCUUCUUCAACCCGUAGAUCCAUGGCUACCAGUUUCACCAGAUCCUCCAAAUUAGGCAAGCUACAAACUGAAAGAUCAGAACAACAAUGUUUUAUUUCACACAUAGAUCAGGGAGGAACUUAUGCUCUAACUGGAUCCAAACGGAACUACAUCACGCAGAAGCCAACUGGAUCCAAACAGAUUAUAUCUUUCUGAAUAUAGAACUUUGCACUCUCGUACUCCUCCUCUCACGAACAUAGCAAUAAUAAUGUGUGGUUGACUUUUAAAAUAC